rnacentral:rRNA from 1 species
UGCGUAGGGAGCAAGCGUUGUCCGGAAUCAUUGGGCGUAAAGCGCGCGUAGGUGGCUUCGUAAGUCCGUUGUGAAAGUCAAAGGCUCAACCUUUGAAAGCCGAUGGAUACUGCGGAGCUAGAGUACGGAGGAGGCGAGUGGAAUUCCUGGUGUAGCGGUGGAAUGCGCAGAUAUCAGGAGGAACACCAAUAGCGAAGGCAGCUCGCUGGGACGUUACUGACACUGAGGCGCGAAAGCGUGGGGAGCGAACAGG